rnacentral:sRNA from 1 species
AUCGAACACUGCUUAACUGAGAAUUCUCUAUCCUCCUUCAAACAAAACCAAUCUAUCAACCUGCCAACAUGAACCCCUGCACCUGCAACUGCUGCAACGGCAACUGCAACUCCUGCGCCUGCUCCAGCUGCACUGUAAGUCAAACCUCCAU